AUGCCACCCCACAGAAAUGGAAACCUCUCCAUGGUCUACUUUCAAGAUUUUGUGCUGGAGGGAUUUGAGGGUGGCCUGGGGACCCAGGCCCUGCUCUUUGCUGUAUUCCUGGCCUUGUACAUGAUGACUGUGCUGGGGAACCUCACCAUGAUCAUGGUUAUCACCCUGGAUGCCCACCUGCACUCCCCAAUGUACUUCUUCCUCAAGAAUAUCUCCUUCCUGGAUUUGUGCUACUCAUCUGUCAUCACCCCCAGUGCCCUGGUCAACUUCUUUUCCCCAUCCAAGGUCAUCACCUUUGCAGGCUGUGCCACCCAGUUAUUCUUUUUCUCCCUACUGGUCACCACUGAAGGGGUGUCAUGGCCUAUGAUCGCUUCAUGGCGAUCUGCAGCCCCUUGCGCUACGCCAUCACCAUGUGCCAUUCUGCCUGCACUCGCCUGGUUCUAGGAACCUACUGUGGAGGCUGCCUCAACUCUGUUGUGGAGACGAGCUUCACAUUCCGCCUUCCAUUCUGCAGCUCCAAUCACAUCAACCACUUCUUCUGUGAUGUUCCCCCCUUGCGCCAGCUGGCCUGUGGCAACACGGCCAUCAGUGAACUUCUCUUGUUUGGUAUCUGUGGGCUCAUCAUUGUAGGUGUGACAUUUGUGGACCUCGUCUCCUAUGGCUACAUCACAGUGACCAUCCUGAGGAUGCGCUCAGGAGCUGGGAGACGCAAGGUCUUCUCCACCUGUGGCUCCCACAUGGCUGCAGUGACUCUCUUUGUUGGGACUGUCUUUGUCAUGUAUGCCCAGCCAGAAGCAAUUGAAUCCAUGGAGCAGAGCAAGGUGGUCUCUGUCUUCUACAUGCUGGUCAUCCCAAUGCUCAAUCCCCUCAUCUACAGUCUGCGAAACAAGGAUGUGAAGGAGGCCCUGUGGAGGCUGGGCCAGAAAUACACAGCCAUGUGA